rnacentral:lncRNA from 1 species
AUAUAUAUAUAUAUAUAUAUAUUGACAAAAUAUAUGAACACAUAUGCAAUAUAUAUAAUUGAAGGGGAAAUAUAAAUAUAGGGGGUUCAUGCAUCUUUGGGAAUGUUUUCAUGCUUCAAGGUCGUUUCAAAUAUCUUAAUUUAUUUUAAAAGAACUUGAUUGGCAUAAAACAACUGAGCCUUGAUUCGUAGAAAAUCCUUCUCGGAAAGCCGAAAUUGCAUCUCCAAUGCGUUGUAUCACGUUCAACACAAAAAAAUUAAAUUGAAUCCAUAGCAUGUAGAUCAAUUCAGUAAAAUAAUAAAUUAAUCGUAAAAAAAUGAUUAAAACGUAAUACUCCCCUGAUUGAAAAAUAAACUUUCUUUAGCGCAGCGUCAAGAGCGUGUUGAUAACGUUUGUAGGCAUAAUUUACUGAACAAUUAUGGAGGCCAGAGAGAGGGGGUGCAACACAUAGAGAGAGAAGAGAGAGAUGUGUAAUUGUGAGGUGUAUGUUGUAUCACCCCAUUGUGCCUUUAUUUGUAGUAGUAGGGAAGGUAAAUUUCUUACCCCAAUAUGAUUACAACUCUAAUAGGAUAAUUUCUAGUUUAAGAGAUAUGGUAGAAUCCCAUAAGGAUAUCCUAGAUAUGUUAGGAUUUACACAAUCACAUUCCUAAUCUAAUAGGACUGCAACACAUUCAUAUUUUUACUCAAAAAUGAAAAACUAAAUAAUAUCUGGAAGGAGAAAAAAGUUAUACACAAUUUUACAUGUUCCCACUUUUUUCAUGUUCAACUAUGUGUAUUAUUUGGUAACUUUCCUAAAAUUUUACUUUGACAAAUUCAGCAAUUUUCUUUAAGAUUUUAAUAUUCAAUAUUUUAAUUUUAUUUAUUUCAAAUAUGUAUAAAAUACAUAAAUUUUAGGGAAAUAGACAUAAAUAGGACAUUUUCUUAAUCUUAGAACAUAAAUAGGAUUUUUCGAAUAUGCACAUGACAUGCACAACAAUCGAACAGAAAUAGAAAUUUUCCUACACUAUGAAAUGACUUAAUUGCCCUUAUAUAUAAAUGAGUUAUUUCCUCCUUUUUUUUUAUUUCUCUCUACUCUAUCUAUCUCCUUCCCUCUCUCUCUUCUCUCACUUUAUCCUUCACGCACUCUCUCCCGUUCUCACUGUGUACACACGGUGCAUAGUUGUCCCAACCAACACCGUUCAAAACGAAGCCACCACCAAUUUCAUCUCGUCCUCACGAGUCCAAAACACCUAGCCUUGUCACAAAUCUCAUCCCUGAUCAUUGGGAUUGUAACUCUGGCAGGUCGCGAGUUUUUCGGCCAUUUUCCGGCAACACGGCAAGUAAUCGAGGCUUGAAACCACCACCACUGGACUCGCAUCAAGGGUGGGAACAAAGCCCAGUCAUUAACUAUUUGUGCACAAAUAGUGCUUGUUGGGAAGAAAGCCCAUUAUCUCUCUCUUUCUCUCUCUCUCUCUUUCUCUCCAUGAACAUCCUAGGCAAGAGAACACCACCAAAACAAGAAAACCCAUUUUUCAAUGACCAAAAAUAAGAAAACCCAUUUGUUGUUUGCUCUUUUCCUUCCCAUAUUUGCAGAUUGGUGGGAUUAAAGAAGUGAGCUUUUUCGUAUUUGGGGAAGGGGAAAAUAAACCCAAAAGCUAUAUGAAGUCAUAGCGAAACAAAAUUUAAUCAAUUUCUCCCUCUUCUAUAUCAUGAGAUUCUUUACCUUGUUUGGAUGUUAUGAUGGUGUUUGUGGAGCCAAAAAUAAUCAAGAAAAAUAUGGAGGCAACACGUGGAAUUUUAGGUAAAAAGACAAGAUUACCCUCGAUGCACAUCGUGGGAUUUCUACGGUCAAGCAGUGGACAAUCAUCCCUCAAUCAAGUCAAAAGUGCCCAAAAUAGGUAUUUAUUCAAAACCUAUUUCAUCCAUCCUCAUCAAAUAUUCUUCACAAGGUAACACCCAAAUCAUUCCUUUCUAAUUAUAUAAAUUAGCUAAUUAAUUGAUUUAUUACUCAAUUAAUUUGUUAAUUAGC